rnacentral:lncRNA from 1 species
GAGUGUCACAUCCCGACCCUUAUAUUUUUACCUUAUUUACUAGCCUGAUUAUAAUAAGAAUUUUACCGUCUCCGUAAUUGAGUAAAUAGUUUAAUUGGUCCCUAGAAGGGUUUCGGGGACGAUUUAUGUGCGGAGGAUUAUUCGUAUGAGGAAAAUUCGACGACGGUAAAAAUGGUAAAUUUUAGCUAGUAAAAGGUAAUUUUUAUUCGGGUAUUAUUUUUUCGGGGUGUUUUUAUUUUUGGAAUUUGGGUUGAUAUAGGUUGGACCGGUGGAGGCCCAACCCAUUUCUUUUUCCUUCUCCCUUUCUCUUCUUCCCUCUUUUCUUUUCCUCUCCCCGAGCCUCCCGCUGCCCGGUUUUCCGGCCGUCCUCCCGCCGCCGUCCGGCCACCAACCGUCGCCGCACCGGUCCCGUUCGGUCGACCUCCAACCCAACAACCUCCCUGGACCGGUGAGAGGAGCCCUAGCUCCGCCGUGAGAGAGCGGUGCCACCCGAAAGCUCCGACUGCCGAAUCGGUUUUCUCGCCGGAACUUCCUCCUCCGGCCACCAAUCCGGGCAAGCUUGGUACGGUUUUGUAGCCCUCCUCCCGUGCAACAACCCCUCCAAACAGCUCCCUCCCUCUUGAGCUAGGUAAGGAGAAAUGUGGAGUUGAAAUUUCUAGGCUUUUAAGUUAUUUUCGUUCGAUUAGCCUAGUUAGGCUUGGAAUUGGGUGAUGUGUUGGUCAUGAAAGUUGUAGAGCAUGAUGAGGAGAUUAUUCUGUCAAAAUUUCAUAGGUUUUGGAGAUCGCCGGAAAACGGCUGCCGGCGGAGCCGCCGGCGGCGCCGCCGCCGGUUAGGAGAUUUUUAGGGUUUUAAAUGUGGAAUAUUAAGAGGAGUAUAUUGGUGUGAUUUUAUGGAAUUUUUGGAUGAGAUUUGGUUAGGUUUGUGAAUUUCCGAAGUUAGGUAUUUUUGGCGGUUAAUUAAUGUAGAAUCCGGCCGUAGGAUUUAAGUCGUAUUUUAGAGAGGUUGUAUUUACGACUGUUGAGUAUGAUAUUUAAGUUCGGAUCGUUCCGAUUUAAGAA